UCUGGGACUCUUGGAGGCCCCGGGACCCCCACCUUGGGCAAUGCCUGAGCCCCAUGCCACCCUACACCCUCACCCAGUGCAAAGGCUGGGGGGUCCAGUGGGGGAUUAACUGCAACUGCUGUCUUUGGGGGUGUAUUCAGUCAGUCAACAUUUACUGAGCACCUCCUGGGUGCCAGGGACUCUGCUAGGUCUGGGAACACAGUGAUGAACAAAGCAGGCAAGAUCCUCUGUUCUCGGGACUGACAGUCUAAUCGAGAAGAGAGAAGAGAAAUCAGACAACUGAAAGAUCCCGGAUGUCAGAUGAUGGUAAGCGCUAUGGAAGAAAAUUGAAGGAGGUGGAUGGAGGGCGUGGUGGCAGCUGCAAUUCUAGAUGAGCAGCAUUAUUCACAAAAGCUGGAAAACAGAAACAACCCAAAUGUCCAUCAGUGGAUGAACAGAUAAACGGUGCCAAACACAUUCACGCAACGGAACAUUACUGAGCCGUCAAAAGGAAGCGCUGAUACACACGGCAUGGAUGAACCUUGAAAAACUAUGCUGCUUGAAAGUCAGACAUAAAAGGCCACGUGCCUGUGAUCCCAUUGACAUGAAAUGUCCACAACAGUUGCCCCUCAGUGGGAACAGGCACCAGGUCCACAAAAAACACCUGCACGACAUUCGUAGCAGCUUCCUCGUCACUGCCAGACGCGGGACAGCAGCAGCGUAGCUGGCCCGGCAAACGGAAGACAGGCUGGGGCAUCUUCUCGCCGUGGAGGAUGACGCCACGUGAGAAAGAGCCAGCACCGUGCGCGGAGAAUUAACCCUGUGACAUGAUGAACCCCCAAAACAUCACGCUGAGUGAAAGGGCCAGACACAGAAGGCCGCGGAGUGAGUGACUCAGUUGACGUGCAAGUCCAGGACAGGAACGUCCACAGAGACACCUGCAGGUGGGGAAGGGCCACUGGGAGCCAGGCGAACAGGCCUCCCCUUUGAAGGAGAGAAGCCACCGGUGGCUUUGGCACAGACGGGUGACUCGGUCGUGUCGUCCCCUCUCCCCACCGCGAGGCUGGCAAUGGGUCUGGCUUUCCUCAGGGGGUGGAAGGACCCGGAUCCCUAAACGAG
rnacentral:lncRNA from 1 species